GGAAUGUUUGACAUUCUGCUCUUUAUAUUUAGCAGAUUAUGUAGAGACAAGAUUUAAUCAAUCAUCAAGAAAUGAUAAUGCAAAUAUUGACUCAACAUUUGCAUUAGAUGUGUUUAACACAUCUGGCUAUGCACUUGGAAAGACCAUUGCUACUAAGUUUGAUAUUGAGAUAUUAAAGAAUGCACAUCAAUAUGUGUUAUUCAAUUGUCAUCGCUUACAAUCUUAUAUAGAUGAACAUCGUGGAAUUGUGCAACUUAGUCAUCCUCGUCUUCCAUUACACCAAAUUGAACGUAUACAUAGUGAAACUUUUGCCUCAUGGUUUGCUAAUCAUAUUGAAGAUACAAAUCUUCCAGAAGAUGAUCCUAUUUCAAAUGAUUUGAGAUCACUUGCUAGAUGCCCAAAUAUCAUUGGGAUACAAUAUCAUAAAUUCGUUUCAAAUGGAUUUAGGUUUCAUACAAAAGAAGUGGAACGUAAGAGGAAAACUCAAAAUUGUGGUGUGACUGUUAGGGCAACUACUUCAAGUUAUUCAAGUA